rnacentral:rRNA from 1 species
AGUGAACGCUGGCGGUAGGCCUAACACAUGCAAGUCGAACGGCAGCACAGUAAGAGCUUGCUCUUACGGGUGGCGAGUGGCGGACGGGUGAGGAAUACAUCGGAAUCUACUUUUUCGUGGGGGAUAACGUAGGGAAACUUACGCUAAUACCGCAUACGACCUACGGGUGAAAGCAGGGGAUCUUCGGACCUUGCGCGAUUGAAUGAGCCGAUGUCGGAUUAGCUAGUUGGCGGGGUAAAGGCCCACCAAGGCGACGAUCCGUAGCUGGUCUGAGAGGAUGAUCAGCCGCACUGGAACUGAGACACGGUCCAGGCUCCUACGGGAGGCAGCAGUGGGGAAUAUUGGGCAAUGGGCGCAAGCCUGAUCCAGCCAUCCCGCGUGGGUGAAGGAGGCCUUCGGGUUGUAAAGCCCUUUUGUUGGGAGAGAAAAGCAGCAGGUUAAUACCCCGCUGUUCUGACGGUACCCAAAGAAUAAGCACCGGCUAACUUCGUG